UGAGUAAGCCAGAUGAUCGCAUGUAUCUAUCGAAAGAUUGUAUAUGAGGAAAGUCCGGGCUCCAAAGGGCAAGGGUGCCGGGUAACUCCCGGUGAAGGCGACUUUAAGGAAAGUGCAACAGAAAUAUACCGCCUGUGAAAACAGGUAAGGAUGAAAAGGCGAGGUAAGAGCUCACCGCUAACCUGGUAACAGGAUAGGCAAUGUAAACCCCACCUGGAGCAACACCGUGAUAUAAGACAUUUAGCGGCCCGUUAGUUUUAUAGAGGUGGCUUGAACGAAAUAGAAAUAUUUGGUCUAGACAGAUGAUCAUCCAAUACAGAACCCGGCUUAUAGACUUACUCAAAAU
rnacentral:RNase_P_RNA from 1 species